rnacentral:misc_RNA from 1 species
AAUAAACAAGAGUGCACUUUAUUGUGGCUCAAAAUUCACUUAAUUUCACCCUAAACACUUGGUUGUGUGACUUGUUCAUUGCAGCCAGGUAUGUGUAACACAAUUCUUUUUUAUUGUGUUACAUUAUCCCCCUCAAUCAUUUAUUUUUUAAACCCAAGUUGAAUUAUAAGAAUGUAAAUAUUUUAAUAAUAAAGAAA